rnacentral:sRNA from 2 species
CGUACGCAUUCAGUGUCCUUGUCCGCCCGACCUUCGACGACGUGAAACAGAGGCCCUUCUCCAUAAUCGCAUUCAGCAGGGAUGAUUUGCCCACGUUCGAUCUACCCAGGAACACCACCUCGGGCACAUCGGACAUGGGGAUCGUGCGGAAUUCGCUGGCCGUCCACAUCUGUAUGGGCGAGUGGUUGGAGGCUCUGAACAGGUCCGCGCCAUAUUGGAGUUGUUGUUGGGUUGGGGGCGCUGUGUCAUAGUAGAAGCAGUAGUCGUGCAGUUGGAGUUGGAUGGGCGGUGAGGCAGUUGCGGGGCCAGUGCGGGUUAUUUUUGGCUUGCGUUCGGUGGCCCUGAGUAGGUUUUUCGCUGUGGUGGUUGCGAUGGAGGCUGCGGAUUUUGCGGCGGCCAUGCUUGUUGGUUUGUUUCCGCGUUCUUGUCGAUUGGGGGUUUGAGUGAUUGUUGGGGUAAAGGGAGGUUUCUAUGAAGUUAGAAGACGUGACAUAUUUUGGGGAAUAUGUGUGUGUGUGUGUGUUAGGAUUAGGAUUCUUCAACUGGGCGUUUCUAUCGCUCGCGUGGAGCUGUGA